rnacentral:lncRNA from 13 species
CCAAGGCAUUCGGACCAGCGGCACUGCUGGCUGGCUGGAAUCGCUCAGAUAUGUUCUGGCUCACCUGGUGUGGCUCUUAGGUUCCUGUCCGUGCUAAUUACAUUCUCUACAGAUCCUGAAGCCAGGUGUUUGCCUACCUGUCUGAAUGGGCGACGUCUUAUGGCAAACCUGCCAAGGAAGCUUUCUUCAUUGCUCUACCUCACAGUACAAGAGAGAAGAGACUGAAUUUUGAUGGCUGGAACUGUGGAUGAGAGAACACACAUGCAUCAGAAAAUGUGCCUGGAGCACCUCUAGGUGGCAGCCUGUUUACAGCAGCACACAUGAGUCUGAGGACAUAGAGUCUGGGAUUGGUGUCCAUCUGCUAUCAACAUUGCUAUCGAAAGAAACAGCUUCCCCAGCCCCAGUAGUGGCAACAAAACAUCCCCUCUCCGACCCAUGCUGCCAUCAGUCUUUCCACCUUUGUCUGCACUGCCUGAGGCAACAGUGAUGGCCUCCCCUGGGACAGUUGUCAGGUAAGAUAAUGUUGAUUCUCCUCUGGAGCCACCCCCAAC